CCAGGCAGAGCUCGCACUCCUCUUCUCUCCAAGGAAGGGCCGGGGGAAGAAAGUUGAGCGAGCGGACGAGCGCGGGAGCCGGCGCGGCACAGCGGCCCGGCGGGGCGAGGUGCUCUCACCUUUCAGCACGUAGCGCUUGCAACGCUGCAGAGAGAAGAGGUAAAAUUUAUAUCCCAUAAAUCACACGUCAAGUGCCUGCAAGGAGAGGUCAUUAAACAGAUGUAUGAGGCAAGAGACAAAGUCCAUCCAUUUUGGGAGAUGCUCCCGGUGUCAGCAGCACUCCAGGAGCCUCCAGAGGCAGGUACCCGACCGGCACAGAAGGAGCUCCCCGGAUAGUUUUAUUUAUUUCCUCCCCGAUUUAUUUGAUUGCGUUUUCUUUAUUUAAAUAGCUCGCCGGGCUUUCCCCUGCCAGAGCUGCCCGACAGGGGUGAGAGCGGAGGGUAGCAGCACAUCAAACAGCUCGGGAGCACGGGCGGAUGGAGUGAUGGAUGGAGGCCGGCCCGCGAUUAAUAAUCAAACCAGGAGCUUUUGCUGGGAGUCAUGUGGAAAAUGUGGCUUUGGAAACAUUUGUCUUGGUCCCACAAACAACAAGUGGUGUUUCGCUCCCUUCCUUUGUUCCUCGCCCCCCUUUCCUCCCUCCCUCUCUCCCUCUUUUGGCUUUUCAUGCCCAGAUCCGCUGAUUAAAAUCUUCUUCAUCCUUUACCUGCUCCAAGUGGCUUCUGCGCUGCUUUGAUUUAUGCUUUGCUUAUCUCAGGCUUCAGUGCAAAAAUAAUGACCAGAUAAUAAAGAGCACUGAGGAGCUUUUCAAAUGACGUGGCACUCGCUGCUUGGGCCGGGGCUUUGCAGGAACCUUGGCGAGGAAUGUGGUGCUGGCCCUGGGCCCAAGCAGAGGGGGAUGAAGCACAGCAGCUCCGCUCGCCCAGCGCCCGCGCUCCAGCGUCACCUCUCUGGGCAAAGCUGGGCACCUCAAAGAGCUCCUCCAUGGGUCGAGUCAGCUCUUAGCUUGGCAAAUCCAUGGAGAGGUUUGCUGGGGGCUUUCUGAAGCGUUGCAGUGGCUGUCGAUCCUCCCAGGGAGAUGCUCAAGCAGCAUCUCCACGAUGCUCUGCCCUCCUUGAGCCCUGCUCCGUCCUUCGCUGACCUAGGGUGCCCGAGCCCUGCAGCAUCCCGAUCCCAAUGCUCCCAUGGACCUACAAGGGCUCCACACCUGUGGGGGUUCAGAUUUUACUGUAGGGGUCAGAUUUUACUGUAGGGUUGGGGACCUAUAGGUUUCCCUGCAUUCUUCAUUA